AUUGAACGCUGGCGGCAUGCCUUACACAUGCAAGUCGAACGGUAACGCGGGGCAACCUGGCGACGAGUGGCGAACGGGUGAGUAAUACAUCGGAACGUGCCCAGUAGUGGGGGAUAGCCCGGCGAAAGCCGGAUUAAUACCGCAUACGACCUACGGGUGAAAGCGGGGGACCGCAAGGCCUCGCGCUAUUGGAGCGGCCGAUGUCAGAUUAGGUAGUUGGUGGGGUAAAGGCCUACCAAGCCUACGAUCUGUAGCUGGUCUGAGAGGACGACCAGCCACACUGGGACUGAGACACGGCCCAGACUCCUACGGGAGGCAGCAGUGGGGAAUUUUGGACAAUGGGCGAAAGCCUGAUCCAGCCAUGCCGCGUGCGGGAAGAAGGCCUCGGUUGUAACCGACUUUGUCAGGAAGAAACGUACUUGGGAUAAUACCCGACGAUAAUGACGGUACCUGAAGAAUAAGCACCGGCUAACUACGUGCCAGCAGCCGCGGUAA
rnacentral:rRNA from 1 species